AUUUUUUUUUCAUUCUUUCUUCUUCAACCGUGGGAAAGAACUGAAAAUGGAAGCCAUGGAUGAGCUCCAUUCAGCCAAGCUUCUAUGGCUUAUAUAGAUGAUGAAAAUUGAGACUUGGACCUAGAACGGAAAGAAAUCGAUUUAUGGACGAGUAUGUCCUUUUCACCUUUGUGGUAUCGAGGUAAGUUCAUGUGUAAAUAAUGUAGCAUAAUUGUUAUUUUUAAGUUAUUGAUGUUAAAUAUAUGAUAUGCUGAUUUUUAUCAUGAAAUAUAUGCUUUGUGGUUAUUUUCGAAUAAAA